rnacentral:lncRNA from 1 species
UAAAAAUCGUAUCUUUAAAAAAGCAGAAACAAAAAAAAAAGGUAAGGAAAACAGAAUUGGAACCAGGCAAACCAAUUACAGAAAGGAGAGAAAACCUGAAGAAAUUGGAAGCUUAGAAGGCAUACAAUAAGAAAUUUCUUAAGGAAUCAUCAUUCGCAGGAAGUCAAAGAAGCCAGAUCAACAGAAGUAAUAACAAUAAUAAUAAUCAUAUAAUAAUCAACCACCUACAAACACUACAAUAUCACAUUUUUACCAAAAGAGGAGAGGAAGUAACGAAAAAAAAAAAAUCAAGCGCCACCCCCACAAAAACAGCUAAAAUUUCAUCAGUAGUGUGAAGAAUUCCUCUGUGAUUUUGGGAAGU